rnacentral:rRNA from 1 species
CCGAAUGGGGAAACCCAGCACGAGUGAUGUCGUGUUACCCGUAUCUGAAUAUAUAGGGUGCGGGAGGUAACGCGGGGAAGUGAAACAUCUCAGUACCCGUAGGAGAAGAAAACAAUUGUGAUUCCGUCAGUAGUGGCGAGCGAACGCGGAACAGGCUAAACCGCAUGCAUGGACAACCGGGUAGGGGUUGUGUGUGCGGGGUUGUGGGAUUGAUAUGUCUCAGCUCUACCUGGCUGAGGGGUAGUCAGAAAGUGUCGUGGUUAGCGGAAGUGGCCUGGGACGGCCCGCCGUAGACGGUGAGAGCCCGGUACGCGAAAACCCGGCACCUGCCUUAUAUCAACACCCGAGUAGCAGCGGGCCCGUGGAAUCUGCUGUGAAUCUGCCGGGACCACCCGGUAAGCCUAAAUACUUCUCGAUGACCGAUAGCGGAUUAGUACCGUGAGGGAAUGGUGAAAAGUACCCCGGGAGGGGAGUGAAAUAGUACCUGAAACCGUGUGCCUACAAUCCGUCAGAGCCUCCUCGUGGGGUGAUGGCGUGCCUUUUGUAGAAUGAGCCUGCGAGUCAGGGACACGUCGCGAGGUUAACCCGUGCGGGGUAGCCGCAGCGAAAGCGAGUCUGAAUAGGGCGCAUCCCUUUUGGGGUGUAGUGGCGUGUUCUGGACCCGAAGCGGAGUGAUCUACCCAUGGCCAGGGUGAAGCGCGGGUAAGACCGCGUGGAGGCCCGAACCCACUUAGGUUGAAGACUGAGGGGAUGAGCUGUGGGUAGGGGUGAAAGGCCAAUCAAACUCCGUGAUAGCUGGUUCUCCCCGAAAUGCAUUUAGGUGCAGCGUUGCGUGGUUCACCACGGAGGUAGAGCUACUGGAUGGCCGAUGGGCCCUACUAGGUUACUGACGUCAGCCAAACUCCGAAUGCCGUGGUGUAAAGCGUGGCAGUGAGACGGCGGGGGAUNAGACAACCANGAGGUUGGCUUAAAAGCAGCCACCCUUGAAAUGCGUAAUAGCGCACUGGUCAAGUGAUUAUGCGCCGAUAAUGUAGCGGGGCUCAAGCACACCGCCGAAGCCGCGGCACAUUCAUCUUUACGGUGGAUGUGGGUAGGGGAGCGUCCCCCAUUCAGCGAAGCCUCCGGGUGAUCGGUGGUGGAGGGUGGGGGAGUGAGAAUGCAGGCAUGAGUAGCGAUAAGGCAAGUGAGAACCUUGCCCGCCGUAAGACCAAGGGUUCCUGGGCCAGGCCAGUCCGCCCAGGGUGAGUCGGGACCUAAGGCGAGGCCGACAGGCGUAGUCGAUGGACAACGGGUUGAUAUUCCCGUACCCGUGUAUGGGCGUCCCUGAUGAAUCAGCGGUACUAACCACCCAAAACCGGAUCGACCAUUCCCCUUCGGGGGCGUGGCGAUUCGGGGCUGCGUGGGACCUUCGCUGGUAGUAGUCAAGCAAUGGGGUGACGCAGGAAGGCAGCCGUACCAGUCAGUGGUAAUACUGGGGCAAGCCCGUAGGGAGAGCGAUAGGCAAAUCCGUCGCUCACUAAUCCUGAGAGGUGAUGCAUAACCCGGUUGAGGCGAAUUCGGUGAUCCUCUGCUGCCAAGAAAAGCCUCUAGCGAGCACAUACACGGGCCGUACCCCAAACCGACACAGGUGGUCAGGUAGAGAAUACCAAGGCGUACGAGAUAACUAUGGUUAAGGAACUCGGCAAAAUGCCCCCGUAACUUCGGGAGAAGGGGGGCCGGAAUACCGUGAACACCCUUGCGGUGGGAGCGGGAUUCGGCCGCAGAAACCCAGUGGGUAGCGACUGUUUACUAAAAACACAGGUCCGUGCGAAGUCGCAAGACGAUGUAUACGGACUGACGCCUGCCCGGUGCUGGAAGGUUAAGAGGACCCGUUAACCCGUAAGGGUGAAGCGGAGAAUUUAAGCCCCAGUAAACGGCGGUGGUAACUAUAACCAUCCUAAGGUAGCGAAAUUCCUUGUCGGGUAAGUUCCGACCUGCACGAAUGGCGUAACGACUUCCCAACUGUCUCAACCAUAGACUCGGCGAAAUUGCACUACGAGUAAAGAUGCUCGUUACGCGCGGCAGGACGAAAAGACCCCGGGACCUUCACUACAACUUGGUAUUGGUGUUCGGUACGGUUUGUGUAGGAUAGGUGGGAGACUUUGAAGCACAGACGCCAGUUUGUGUGGAAGUCGUUGUUGAUGCCUCCUAAAAUGUAACGGAGGCGCCCAAAGGUUCCCUCAACCUGGACGGCAAUCAGGUGGCGAGUGUAAGUGCACAAGGGAGCUUGACUGCGAGACUUACAAGUCAAGCAGGGACGAAAGUCGGGACUAGUGAUCCGGCACCCCCGAGUGGAAGGGGUGUCGCUCAACGGAUAAAAGGUACCCCGGGGAUAACAGGCUGAUCUUCCCCAAGAGUCCAUUCCUCGAUCUCGGCUCGUCGCAUCCUGGGGCUGGAGCAGGUCCCAAGGGUUGGGCUUGUUCGCCCAUUAAAGCGGCACGCGAGCUGGGUUUAGAACGUCGUGAGACAGUUCGGUCUCUAUCCGCCGCGCGCGUCAGAAACUUGAGGAAACCUGUCCCUAGUACGAGAGGACCGGGACGGACGAACCUCUGGUAUACCAGUUGUCCCACCAGGGGCACGGCUGGAUAGCCACGUUCGGACAGGAUAACCGCUGAAAGCAUCUAAGCGGGAAACCUUCUCCAAGAUCAGGUUUCUCACCCUUUUAGAGGGAUAAGGCCCCCCGCAGAUCACGGGAUUGAUAGGCCAGACCUGGAAGCUCAGUAAUGAGUGCAGGGAACUGGCACUAACCGGCCGAAAACUUACCAAC